rnacentral:rRNA from 1 species
GACGAACCGUGCGAACGUUAUUCGGAAUCAUUGGGCUUAAAGGGCGCGUAGGCGGCGGGGUAAGUUGGAAGUGAAAUCCCAUCGGCUCAACCGUGGAAUUGCUCCCAGUACUGCAUCGCUCGAGGGGGAUAGGGGUUUGCGGAACUACCGGUGGAGCGGUGAAAUGUGUUGAUAUCGGUGGGAACGCCAGUGGCGAAAGCGGCAAACUUGACCCUUCCUGACGCUGAGGCGCGAAAGCUAGGGGAGCAAACGGG